rnacentral:tRNA from 1 species
GGAAGAUUGACAGAGCGGUAAUGUGUUGGCUUGCUACGCCACAGCUGGCCUAUGGGCUACAGGAGUUCGAUUCUCCUAUCUUCCUCCA